GAAAUGCGAUAAGUAGUGUGAAUUGCAGAAUUCAGUGAAUCAUCGAAUCUUUGAACGCACAUUGCGCCCUAUGGUAUUCCGUAGGGCAUGCCUGUUCGAGCGUCAUUUACACCUUCAAGCCUUGCUUGGUGUUGGGUGACUGUGGCCCCUUUGGGGCCACUCGCCUUAAAGUCAUUGGCGGCCGGUUCGUUGGCUUUGUAGCGCAACACAAUUGCGUCCUCGAAGCCGCUGGACCAGCUCCCAGAAGCUAAUUUUAAAUGUUUGACCUCGAAUCAGGUAGGGAUACCCGCUGAACUUGAGC
rnacentral:misc_RNA from 1 species